rnacentral:rRNA from 1 species
GAGAUAACUCCUACGGGAGGCAGCAGUGGGGAAUAUUGGACAAUGGGCGCAAGCCUGAUCCAGCCAUGCCGCGUGAGUGAUGAAGGCCCUAGGGUUGUAAAGCUCUUUCACCGGUGAAGAUAAUGACGGUAACCGGAGAAGAAGCCCCGGCUAACUUCGUGCCAGCAGCCGCGGUAAUACGAAGGGGGCUAGCGUUGUUCGGAUUUACUGGGCGUAAAGCGCACGUAGGCGGACUAUUAAGUCAGGGGUGAAAUCCCGGGGCUCAACCCCGGAACUGCCUUUGAUACUGGUAGUCUUGAGUUCGAGAGAGGUGAGUGGAAUUCCGAGUGUAGAGGUGAAAUUCGUAGAUAUUCGGAGGAACACCAGUGGCGAAGGCGGCUCACUGGCUCGAUACUGACGCUGAGGUGCGAAAGCGUGGGGAGCAAACAGGAUUAGAAACCCGAGUAGUCCUCCACU